rnacentral:rRNA from 1 species
AGCGAACGCUGGCGGCAGGCCUAACACAUGCAAGUCGAACGAACCCUUCGGGGUUAGUGGCGGACGGGUGAGUAACACGUGGGAACGUGCCUUUAGGUUCGGAAUAACUCAGGGAAACUUGUGCUAAUACCGAAUGUGCCCUUCGGGGGAAAGAUUUAUCGCCUUUAGAGCGGCCCGCGUCUGAUUAGCUAGUUGGUUGAGGUAAUGGCUCACCAAGGCGACGAUCAGUAGCUGGUCUGAGAGGAUGAUUAGCCACAUUGGGACUGAGACACGGCCCAAACUCCUACGGGAGGCAGCAGUGGGGAAUCUUGCGCAAUGGGCGAAAGCCUGACGCAGCCAUGCCGCGUGAAUGAUGAAGGCCUUAGGAUUGUAAAAUUCUUUCACCGGGGACGAUAAUGACGGUACCCGGAGAAGAAGCCCCGGCUAACUUCGUG